rnacentral:rRNA from 1 species
GUGGGGAAUCUUGCGCAAUGGGCGAAAGCCUGACGCAGCCAUGCCGCGUGGAUGAUGAAGGUCUUAGGAUUGUAAAAUCCUUUCACCGGUGAAGAUAAUGACUGUAGCCGGAGAAGAAGCCCCGGCUAACUUCGUGCCAGCAGCCGCGGUAAUACGAAGGGGGCUAGCGUUGCUCGGAUUUACUGGGCGUAAAGGGCGCGUAGGCGGACAUUUAAGUCAGGGGUGAAAUGCCGGGGCUCAACCUCGGAACUGCCUUUGAUACUGGGUGUCUUGAGUAUGAGAGAGGUGUGUGGAACUCCGAGUGUAGAGGUGAAAGUCGUAGAUAUUCGGAAGAGCACCAGUGGCGAAGGCGACACACUGGCUCAUUACUGACGCUGAGGCGCGAAAGCGUGGGGAGCAAACAGGAUUAGAUACCCCUGUAGUCC